rnacentral:rRNA from 1 species
UACGUAGGGUGCGAGCGUUAAUCGGAAUUACUGGGCGUAAAGAGUGCGUAGGCGGUUCUUGAAGUCCGCUGUGAAAGCCCCGGGCUUAACCUGGGAAUGGCAGUGGAAACUGGGGGACUUGAAUUGAGCAGUAGGGGGUGGAAUGCCGCGUGUAGCAGUGAAAUGCGUAGAGAUCGGCAGGAACACCCAGGGGAAACCAGUCGACUGGGCAUCGUACUGACGCUGAGGUGCGAGAGCGAUGGGGAGCGGAACCGGG